rnacentral:tRNA from 1 species
GUUGUCGUGGCCUAGUGGUUAAGGCGAUGGACUACAAAUCUUCCCGCGCAGGUUCUAAUCCUGCCGACAUCG